UGGGGGCGGAGAACUCCCCCUGGUCCCUGGAACUCACUCCAUUAGCACCUCUUCUUAAAAGUUCCUCCUGACCCCGGAAACAGCACCUGCUUCCAGAGAGCUGUCAGCCUGCUCCAUGCACCGCCCUUUGACCUAGAGAUUCCAUUUUUAGAAUUUCUACCACAGAAACACUCACACGGGUGACAAGGGAAAACGCACAGGAAAUUCAUUGCAUCACUGUUGAUAAUAGCAGAACUUUAGAAACCUCCUCGACGCCCAUCCGGGGAAACUGAUUAUAUAAAUGUGAAGGCACUGCCCGAUGGGAGAGCAAGAGGCCGUGACACAUACCUGCCCGUUCCUCCAAGGAGUGAAAAAGAACAAGCCUUCAUUUGUAUUUCAAGAGGGGCACCUCCAUACACACCCUGCUUGCAACAUCAGAAUCCACAGGUUUACCACGAGCAUGCACUCCACUGGUCUCCAUCCCGCUGGGAUACUCACCCACGGCCAAUUCUCUCCUUCUCGGGACUGCCCCCCACCCCUCGCACCGGGUGAAGCCAUGUGACCGGCGAUGGCCAAGGAACUCUGGGAGGGAGUGAUGUGUUGCUGUUUCCCUGCCUCAGUGACCCGGACGUGGAGGGGCUGCACCAUUUUACGUCCCCACAAAUGGUGCCCAAGGUUCCAAUCUCUCCACAUCCUCACCAGCACUCGUUACUUUCUGUGGAGCGCGAUCUCGUGAGCUUUCGAGUUUCCUGUCUCCGAGGAUCACUGGGGGAGUAAGAAUUUGUUACAUGCAAAAAAAAAAAAAAAAAAAAGAAGAAGAAGGUUUAAAAUGCCACUGGUAAGUCUGUAGUGUGACUGUCAUCUGGACCUGCUUCCACGGGAGAAAGCGGGCGCCUGGGGUGACGCCCUGCUCCCCGGGGAUAGUGACGCCACGUCUCAAAGUCCUUAGCCCUCAAACAGCUACUAUCCGGCCGCUACCGGGUGCUGGACGGUUUGAGGGGACUCCUCGCGAAGACCCGGGUCCUGCCCUCCUGGAGCAGGAGGAGGAACUCAGCAAGCGAUUGCACAAACACAGGAAUUCCUUCUAGGGGAG